UACAGAGGUCCCAAGCGUUGUUCGGAUUCAUUGGGCGUAAAGGGUGUGUAGGUGGCGCCGUAAGUCGGGUGUGAAAUCUCGGGGCUUAACUCCGAAACUGCAUUCGAUACUGCGGUGCUUGAGGACUGGAGAGGAGACUGGAAUUUACGGUGUAGCGGUGAAAUGCGUAGAGAUCGUAAGGAAGACCAGUGGCGAAGGCGGGUCUCUGGACAGUUCCUGACACUGAGACACGAAGGCCAGGGGAGCAAACGGG
rnacentral:rRNA from 1 species